rfam:Prunus persica cultivar Lovell chromosome G2, whole genome shotgun sequence.
GGAUAACACUUUUUGCUAUCCUCAGCCAAUAAUGCAAUGACACGUAGGAUAACUUUUUUACGUGUCAUUGCAUUAUUGGUCGGGGAUAGCAAAACAGUGCUAUUC